GCGGGAGUAGUUCAAUUGGUUAGAGCACCAGCCUGUCACGCUGGAAGUUGCGGGUUCGAGUCCCGUCUCUCGCG
rnacentral:tRNA from 1 species